AGUCGAACGCCCCGCAAGGGGAGUGGCAGACGGGUGAGUAACGCGUGGGAAUCUCCCCUUUGGUACGGAAUAACCCGGGGAAACUCGGGCUAAUACCGUAUAAGCCGGUAACGGGAAAGAUUUAUCGCCAAAGGAUGAGCCCGCGUCGGAUUAGCUAGUUGGUGGGGUAACGGCCCACCAAGGCUACGAUCCGUAGCUGGUCUGAGAGGACGACCAGCCACACUGGGACUGAGACACGGCCCAGACUCCUACGGGAGGCAGCAGUGGGGAAUCUUGGACAAUGGGCGCAAGCCUGAUCCAGCCAUGCCGCGUGAGUGAUGACGGCCUUAGGGUUGUAAAGCUCUUUCGCACGCGACGAUGAUGACGGUAGCGUGAGAAGAAGCCCCGGCUAACUUCGUGCCAGCAGCCGCGGUAAUACGAAGGGGGCUAGCGUUGUUCGGAAUUACUGGGCGUAAAGCGCACGUAGGCGGCUCUGUAAGUUGGGGGUGAAAUCCCGAGGCUCAACCUCGGAAUUGCCUUCAAGACUGCAGGGCUUGAGUUCGGGAGAGGUGAGUGGAAUUCCCAGUGUAGAGGUGAAAUUCGUAGAGAUUGGGAAGAACACCAGUGGCGAAGGCGGCUCACUGGCCCGUAACUGACGCUGAGGUGC
rnacentral:rRNA from 1 species